rnacentral:rRNA from 1 species
GGGUCAGUAGGUUGGUCGUGCCACCGGUACGUACUGGUCUCACUGAUUCCUCCUCCCUGAAGAACCGUAAUGCCAUUAAUUUGGUGUUGCGGGGAAACAGGACUGUUACUUUGAAAAAAUUAGAGUGUUUAAAGCAAGCUAACGCUUGAAUACAUUAGCAUGGAGUAAUGAAAUAGGACGAUCGAUCCUAUUUUGUUGGUUUCUAGGAUUGACGUA